rnacentral:rRNA from 1 species
GAUGAACGCUGGCGGCGUGCCUAAUACAUGCAAGUCGAGCGAACGGACGAGAAGCUUGCUUUUCUGAUGUUAGCGGCGGACGGGUGAGUAACACGUGGAUAACCUACCUAUAAGACUGGGAUAACUUCGGGAAACCGGAGCUAAUACCGGAUAAUAUUUUGAACCGCAUGGUUCAAAAGUGAAAGACGGUCUUGCUGUCACUUAUAGAUGUAUCCGCGCUGCAUUAGCUAGUUGGUAAGGUAACGGCUUACCAAGGCAACGAUGCAUAGCCGACCUGAGAGGGUGAUCGCCCACACUGGAACUGAGAAACGGUCCAGACUCCUACGGAAGGCAGCAGUAGGGAAUCUUCCGCAAUGGGCGAAAGCCUGACGGAGCAACGCCGCGUGAGUGAUGAAGGUCUUCGGAUCGUAAAACUCUGUUAUUAGGGAAGAACAUAUGUGUAAGUAACUGUGCACAUCUUGACGGUACCUAAUCAGAAAGCCACGGCUAACUACGUG